rnacentral:lncRNA from 1 species
AUGCACUGCCCCCAGCUGUGGCACUCCUCGCACCCCUCCCCGCACAGCGCCACGUUGUGGGCCGGCGUUCAGGAUCUAAGUGGCUUCCAGGGCCGAAUCCCGCGGCUGCUGCUCGCAUGGCUUCGCCUUCAGCACCGCGGUAGAUGGGGCUCUUGCGCCCCAACCGGCUUGGGGGACAGAGGACGCGAGCUCUGGACUCCGGGAGCCGCGGCUGCCCGCGGGGUCCGCCUAACGGUCCGGGGCGAGCGGGCUCAGCGAACGGCAGCAGCAGACGCCCCCUCGCGGUCGGAAGCUGGUGGCGGGCGCUGGGCGCGGGACCUUUCCGUUAGGUGCGCGGGGAGUGCGGGUUGCGCUCGCGUGACUCCCGGGCACUCGAGCCUCUGCUGGCAUCCAGACCCCGAAAGCCGCCAUAGCACCUUUGAGUCUGCAGUGCCCACACCUGGCACCUGUCCCCGGCCCGCGCUGCCCCCUGGACCACGGGCGGAGCUGGCAAUCCUGGCCCAAGGAAUAUCCCGAGGAUUGGAGGAUGGUGUGGGAUCUUUGAGACUGGUAAUGGUGUACAUUACUGAGUGUGCUGCCUAG